rnacentral:tRNA from 1 species
GGGGGAUUAGCUCAGCUGGUAGAGCGCUUGCAUGGCAUGCAAGAGGUCAUCGGUUCGAUCCCGUUAUCCUCCA